UGAGGAAUAUUGGUCAAUGGGCGAGAGCCUGAACCAGCCAAAUCGCGUGAAGGAAGACAGCCCUACGGGUUUUAAACUUCUUUUGUAGGGGAAUAAAAAAGAGUACGCGUAGUCUAUUGCAUGUACACCUGCGAAUAAGCAUCGUGCA
rnacentral:rRNA from 1 species